rnacentral:rRNA from 1 species
UACGUAGGGGGCAAGCGUUGUCCGGAAUUAUUGGGCGUAAAGAGCGUGUAGGCGGCCAGAUAAGUCCGCUGUGAAAUCUCGAGGCUCAACUUCGAGCUGUCGGUGGAAACUAUCUGGCUAGAGUCCGGAAGAGGAGAAUGGAAUUCCUGGUGUAGCGGUGAAAUGCGCAGAUAUCAGGAGGAACACCGGUGGCGAAGGCGGUUCUCUGGUACGUGACUGACGCUGAGACGCGAAAGCGUGGGGAGCGAACAGG